UUUCAUUUUUCCCCCUGCUUAUUGUAAAUGUGAGCGUGUUAUGUUACUCUUUAUUGCAGCAGCAUUACGUUCAGCGGCGCACAUGUUACCUCAAUAGAAACAAUUUUAAGAAACUGAGUGCAGGCCUGAAACCGGACCAGCUCACGGGCAUCAUUUAUAAAGUAAUCAAUUGCAGGAGGAGGAGCAGAGCUGGACUGGUAAUCUGGCAUACCGGACAUUUUUCCGGUGGACCGACGCACUUUGGGGCCGAUCAGGGUGGACUGGCCAUCGGGAGAACCGAGCGGGCCGCAGUGUCGCCCGCGAUAAUCUAAAACGAGCCGCCGCGUUAGCGAACACUCUCCCCCAACAACUUUUUGACAGUUAUGUCAAAUCCCGGGCCGAUUUCUCUUUCCAGUCCAGCCCUGACAAGGAGCACAUGGAUAUUGUUGAAGUUAAACAAGGUUGAACAUGUUUGCCUCAAGUUCCUUGAAUGCAGAACCUUUGUGGGGACAGAGAUGGGCCUUGUGAGUGUGUGCUGUUGAAGAAACCUCUCAGCUGUCUUGCAGACUUUCAGGACGGUGUCUGACGGUCUUAUAAAUCCACCUCAGGACUUCAUGUCGAUCAGUGUGUUCAUCUUGGGAAGAGCUCUCGACACUGAGUGCUGAUAAACAGGCUGAACGUCACUGCCUGAAAUGCAUAUCAGAAGAUGCUGCCUCCAGUGUCACUGUGAUAUCCGGUGGAGAACUGUCGCCACUAGCUCUGAUGGCAUGUCUUGCUACCAUUCUUUUGAAAGCUGAAUAAUGUGGGAUUGUUGUUAAAUCCAUUAGCAGAUUUGUUCCCACAUAUCUGCAAAUUUUUAUUGUAUUGUUCAGUUUAAGUCAAUUUUUGUGUGUACUUGGAAGCUUUUGUUAUUGAACAAAUAAAUAU